rnacentral:rRNA from 1 species
AGGACGAACGCUGGCGGCGUGCUUAACACAUGCAAGUCGAACGGUGACCCUCGGAGCUUGCUUCGGGGUGAUCAGUGGCGAACGGGUGAGUAACACGUGAGUAACCUGCCCCAGACUCUGGGAUAACCCCGGGAAACCGGAGCUAAUACCGGAUACGACACGGAGAGGCAUCUCUACCGUGUGGAAAGUUUUUCGGUCUGGGAUGGACUCGCGGCCUAUCAGCUUGUUGGUGAGGUAAUGGCUCACCAAGGCGACGACGGGUAGCCGGCCUGAGAGGGCGACCGGCCACACUGGGACUGAGACACGGCCCAGACUCCUACGGGAGGCAGCAGUGGGGAAUAUUGCACAAUGGGCGAAAGCCUGAUGCAGCGACGCCGCGUGAGGGAUGAAGGCCUUCGGGUUGUAAACCUCUUUCAGCAGGGAAGAAGCGAAAGUGACGGUACCUGCAGAAGAAGCACCGGCUAACUACGCGCCAGCAGCCGCGGU